CCUACGGGAGGCAGCAGUAGGGAAUCUUCCGCAAUGGACGAAAGUCUGACGGAGCAACGCCGCGUGAACGAUGAAGGCCUUCGGGUCGUAAAGUUCUGUUGUUAGGGAAGAACAAGUGCUAGUUAAAUAAGCUGGCACCUUGACGGUACCUAACCAGAAAGCCACGGCUAACUACGCGCCAGCAGCCGCGGUAAUACGUAGGUGGCAAGCGUUGUCCGGAAUUAUUGGGCGUAAAGCGCGCGCAGGCGGUUUCUUAAGUCUGAUGUGAAAGCCCCCGGCUCAACCGGGGAGGGUCAUUGGAAACUGGGAAACUUGAGUGCAGAAGAGGAAAGUGGAAUUCCAAGUGUAGCGGUGAAAUGCGUAGAGAUUUGGAUGAACACCAGUGGCGAAGGCGACUUUCUGGUCUGUAACUGACGCUGAGGCGCGAAAGCGUGGGGAGCAAACAGGAUUAGAUACCCUGGUAGUCCACGCUGUAAACGAUGAGUGCUAAGUGUUAGAGGGUUUCCGCCUUUAGUGCUGAAGUUAACGCAUUAAGCACUCCGCCUGGGGAUACGGUCGCAAGACUGAAACUCAAAGGAAUUGACGG
rnacentral:rRNA from 1 species